UAGAGGGCCAAAGUUCAAAAUUUUGUCCAAGCCAAUGGCCAAAUACAGUUCACAUUUAGUGAAGAAAGAAAUGUUAUAUAACAAUUUCUUUUCAUUGUUGUAAUGUCAGUUUGUAGGUAAGUUGUUGGAGUGUGUUUUGUUUGUAGUUGGUGUGUGCUCAUUUACCUUCCAGAGUCAGAGUGGCAUGGGCGGAGUCUGCAAUCUACUCACCUGUCUUGGAUUCUGCUGAUGAGGGCAGCUGCUACUUGAUCUCCUGGAAGUAGUCCAUUCCUCGCCGGAUUAUUCAGUGACCCUGGUACUGAGACUAUCUGUGGAACUGAACUCACCUUUUGCUGGAGCUUAAGGACCCUUUUUGGAUUUGGACCCUCCUUACUGGUAACCCUCACCUGAUGACCAACAUCCUCCGUCCUGCCACUCUCUCUCUCUCUGGACCUGGAAGACAAACAAACAACCCUUGGAACUUGCAAGACACUUGCCUCGUGGAUUUCCUCUGCCUCCUCCUCCGAUGCUGCCACCUUCUCAAAGCCUGAUGAGCCCAUUCUCAAACUUCACUGUAAAUAAAAAUCACUUAACCUUUUCA